UAUAGCUUUCAUUGGCGUCCUAAAGUGGGC
rnacentral:piRNA from 1 species